CAGUAUUCUUUUGUAUCAUUAUUUUUCAGUGAAUUCAUUUUAUUUCUGAUUUCUUUCCUGUAUUUCUUUUGCGCUUUAUUCAUUACUUUUUUAUAUUGCUUUUCGCUUGCUUUUGCGAGGUUGCAGUAAUGUGUAGACAGAUUUUUUUUCUGCGUUUAAAUCCGAAAUUGUUGUCUUGUCUUUGAGCAAUCUAAAUCAAAUCAAAGUUUGUUUUGCGUGCUUCGUUGGGAUUUUGUUAUAAUAUUAGCUUCAGAAACGUUUGUUUUUAGUACCAAAAGUUUUUUAUCCGAAUCUAAUGGGCUAUUUUCUAUUUUAUGUACAAUUGAGUCUAUACUUAAUUGGUUGAAGUUCUAAGUGUCUUCAAUUUCUUUCAUUAAGAUAACUAUCAUUUCAGUAUCAAUAUUUUCUUGGAAAAGCAAUGAUUUUGAAGGGUUCCAUUUCUUAAUUUUCUCAUCUUUGCCAAUAUCAAUGCCAUCAUUUGUUUCCUUAUCUAAAAUUAAGCACUUUAUUGAUAGAAGUAAAGGGGAAUGAACGUCGGAAUAUAAACUGGAAAAAUCUAAAAUUUCAAAGUUUAAAAGAUUUUGUAAAGAAGAUACAUUACUGAUGCAAUAAUCGACUACGCUAGCAUUUCGACAUGUUAAUUUACCUUCCCUGUCUCUUGUUUUUCUGCCAUUCAUGAUGAAAAGAUUAUUACCUUUACAAAAAUCUAAUAACUGAUUCCCAAAACGGUUUUUGCAUUUGUCUUUAUUAUUCCUUUUCCGGGUCAAGCUUUUUUUCGUCUAAUUCACACACCAUGUUUACAGUCACGCCCUCAUCAUAAGUACAUAUUUCAUUUUCAUUAACAUAAACAAAAUCUCUGUCUUCUGCUGUUCGCGCGUGUAAGUCACCGAUAAAAAUACUUUUUUUCAAAUUUGCUUGAGAGAUCUAAAUAUUCAUUUUCAAUUUCAUCGAGAGCACUUGACGAAGAGUAUGAUGUGUAUUCCGAAUGUCAUCCAAAUCAUCAGUUUUCGUUUCUACAAAGCAAGCAAUGCCAUUUUUGUAAAUUAGUUCACUAAAUUCGAGAUAAUUGAUUUUUGAUUUUUGACCACAACGGUUAAUACACAGUAUAUUUAAAAUGUUCUGCUCAUUUCCUAUAUGAACUUCCUCAUUCAAGGGUUCUCUCGAUUCAUCCUACAUAUUGGUUGACAAAGUAAUUUCCUCGUUUUCGUCUCCGACAGAGUCACUUCUCGAGCGUUUAGAUCGACGUGGUGGUAUUGGCGGGGGAUCCAUUAAUUGUUAGAGGAGAGUUUUUGCUCAGAAGAACAUCCUUGUAUUCUUUUGUUUGGUUGUUGGAGGCCGUUGUGUUAUUGUAUGGUUUUCCAUUUAUAUUAAGCUUGUCUCAGACAAGCUUCACUUUUUUGCCCUCACUUUUUGCCUUUUUUCAUAAUUGGGUAGAGUUCUUUUCUUUUAUUUUCAAUUUCUGGUGGGAACUGUUCAAUAACAUCAAAUUUUUUGCCUUUUAACUUAUAAGUUCGGCUGAGGACGUGUUUCAUUUCUCUUCGAUAAAUAAAGCGUAUCACUAUAGGUCGGACUCCAUUUAGGCCUGGUUUGCCAAAGCGGUGAACAUUUCCAAAUGAUACACGGUAGUUUAUGCCUAGUUCCGCUUCUAAGAAAUUUUGAAUUUUUGCAUCACAUAUGUCAUUUUGUU
rnacentral:lncRNA from 1 species